AAUGAACGCUGGCGGCAGGCCUAACACAUGCAAGUCGAACGAGUGGCGGACGGGUGAGUAAUGUCUGGGAAAGUGCCUGAUGGAGGGGGAUAAAUACUGGAAACGGUAGCUAAUAAGGCAUACCAUCGGCAGUGCCCAGAUGGGAUUAGCUAGUAGGUGGGGUAAAGGCUCACCUAGGCGACUAUCCCUAGCUGGUUUGAGAGGAUGACCUGCCACACUGGACUUGAGCCCAUGUCCAGACUCCUACGUGAGGCAGCAGUGGGGAAUAUUGCUCAAUGGCCGCACGCCUGAUGCAGUCCUUCCGCGUGUAUGAUGAAGGCCUUCGGUUUGUAAAUUACUUUCAGCGGGCAGGCGUUACCCCCAGAAGAAGCACCGGCUAACUCCGUGCCAGCAGCCGCUGUAAUAC
rnacentral:rRNA from 1 species